rnacentral:rRNA from 1 species
GCACCCGAAGCCGGUGGCCGAACCCGCAAGGGACGGAGCCGUCUAAGGUGUGCCUGGUAAGGGGGGUGAAGUCGUAACAAGGUAGCCGUACCGGAAGGUGCGGCUGGAUCACCUCCUUUCUAGGGAG